UACUGCAUGGACAGAUACCUAAGAGAAGAAUAUUAAGAACAUGCAGAGAGUCUACACAGAACGGAGACAGGUUUUGAUCAGCAAAGAACUCUUCAGAAGUCAGAAAGUGAUAAGUCAGACAUCUGGAAACCCAUAAGGAGUUGGAUUUAGACGCUGAGGACUUUGCAGACUUUCAGCACUUCACUCUUCCUCCCAACAUUGAGCGACCAGCCACUUGCAAGCAGAGGACAGUAAGACCUUUAAGGAGGUGCCAGAGYGCCAGGGCUCACUUUCAAGGCCAUACAAGGCAGAAGUCUCUUGGUCGUCGUGACAGUAACCAAUCUCAAGUGGCAUUCAGCAGCACCAUUGUGAGUACAAGCAGACGGAGCUGAUGCAUUUG